rnacentral:rRNA from 1 species
UACGGAGGGUGCAAGCAUUAAUCGGAAUUAUUGGGCGUAAAGGGCGCGUAGACGGACUUGUAAGUCGCAUGUGAAAUCUCUGGGCUCAACCUGGAGGCGGCAUGUGAAACUGCAAAUCUAGAGGAUAGGCGGAGAAAAUGGAAUUCCACAAGUAGCGGUGAAAUGCGUAGAUAUGUGGAAGAACACCAGUGGCGAAGGCGGUUUUCUAGCUUAGACCUGACGUUGAUGCGCGAAAGCAAGGGGAUCAAACAGG